CUCAACUCUGUUUGCCGAGUAACUUCCCUUAGCAAACUUCAAUGCCACCGCAACACCUUGGCCACGCCCUCCACGCCCGUGGGGAUGAGGAAGGAACCCCAAGUGGGGGGCUGGUCCUGAGGCAUUGUCAACCUCCUUCUGAUUCUGAGGAUGGAAUUCUGGGACUCCCACACCCCCAGAGUCAAGAGCAGCUGUCAGGAGGGCCCUACAUAGAAUGUCUGACCUGGCAGCCAUUUGGGGGUAGGGCCAGUGAAGCCAAAGACCUAUGAGGACUUCCUUCAGCCCUGGGAUAAAGGCGAAGCUCCUUCUGUGAUACUCAAGGUCUUUCAGUGUCAUCCCCAAAUUGUCCUUCCAUAUGCCCCCUCUACCUGGCUGACUCCUGCUCCUCCGAGCUCCCCUGUCACCAUUGCUAGGAAGCCCUGUCUCAGUCUCUCCAGUUCCCUGUCCUGAGUCAGGCUUCCUGUGGGAUCCCAGCUUCCUCAGCAUCCCGGCCCUAGGUCAUCCUUGCCUGCUUAUGUGCCUGUUGUCCGCACAGAGGAGGACACCGUGUCUAUUUAGUCUCUAUAUCCCAGGGUCUGUACAAAGAAGUGCUCGGUAAAGCUUUGCUGAACUGAGGAGGGUAGACGGAGUGGCCACGGUGGGGACAUCAGUUCCUACCCCUUCGGCUCCUUUCGCGGGCUUCCGCCCCCUCUGCUGAGUCUCCUGUAGGGAAAGGUGCACAUGAAGAGUAGUUAGAGGCAGCCGAAAGGCCGAGAGCUACCACAAGGUAGAUGUGGGCUCCAGUCCUGUUCAGAUGUCAGCUGAUUUAGCGGAGCCGGAGGAUUCCUGUGUGUUGACGGGGGAUCCUAUUCCACCAGAGGAGCAGAGAGGGCGUGAGGAAUAAAUGAAAUAACGUGAGAAAAGCAGCAUCCAGAGCCUUGACCCAGGGCAGUGAUACCAAAUUGGAAAACAAGCCCCCUUUCCGGCCGGGAGCGACAGAAGGAGGCAGGCCCAUUUUCUAGGGCAGCCACAGAGCUGUGCCGCAGUCACGAUGGAGACCAUGAGGUUCUGGGUCCCAUGAUGGGCAUCAUUUGAUGAGAAGAUGCCGCGAUCCAGGAAGAGGAUGAGAAAUUACCAGCCCUGAACCCUCCCGGCCCGAACCCAGAGCCAGAAAAAGUAGUAUGCGCUGAAGUGUCCAUAGAAAGCUCCUGGUCCAACUCCUCCAUUUCACAGUUGGGGAAACUGAGGCUGGAAGGGGGAGGAUGGAGGUGGUGAUUUGCCCGAUAUGCCCGAGGAGUGAGAGCCCAAGCCAGGACUGGAGCCCGGUCCCCUGGCCCCAGCCUCCAGCUACCAGGCAGAGCCCGGGUCGCCUAGGGAGCAGCGGGCGCCAGGAGGCCGGGAGGAGGCGGAGGAGCGGGGGCGCGCCCGGCCGCCCCGGCCCCGCGGGCCCCUUCCGGCCCCUCCCCCAGCCUGCGCACCGUCCCGCCACCUGCUCCCCGGUCCGCUGGGGCGGGGCCGCCGCCCCCCGUCUCCAUGGCAACGCGCGGCCCGGCCGGCCGCCCUGGCCUCGCUGCCGCCGCGCAGCCCAUCUGGCCCCAAGCCCGCCCCAGCUGGACCGCCCGAGGCCCCGUCGGCCGGGGGCCCCCACAGCCCCGCGGCGCCCGAGAGCAAGGCAGGAGCGCCGGGCGUCGGGCACCAGCGAUGCCAGCACCUGGGCUGGCUGCGAGGCUCAUCCCGAUGGAUCAGAAGCUGUGCUGCCCUCCCGGAUCCCCGAGUCUAGAGAGUAUCCUCCCCCCCCCCACACCCCCCCCCACCCAGCACAUUCGCUCAGGGCGGCAGGAGGAGCUCUCAGGAUUGGAGGCGAGCUCUCUGGAGCCAGCCACCCUGGAGGCGAAUCCCCAAGGAGGGUGACCCUGGGCAAUUUACUUAAGCUUUUACCCGUCUGAAAAAUGGAGGCGAGCACAGAACCUGGCUCUCUGGGUGGUUGUGAGGGUUAAAUGGGUCAAUAAAGAAAAAUACAUGGAGUGAGCACGCAAUAAGUAUCAGCUAUUAUUAUUACUGCAGGUGGCAAGUGCUGCAGAGAGGGCCAUGGAAGCCCGGAGUAAGGGUCCUAACCCAGCAUGGGGGCAGCAGGGGCCGCUUCCUGGAGGAGGCCGUGCUGGUUGGUGUCGGCGCAAAUAACAGUUAGCCAGGAAGCAGAAGAGAAGAGGGAGCAGCAGCAGCAAAGACGUAGAGAUGAAAAAUAGCGUGGGGGAGGGGGGGAAGACUUACAAAGCCCCUCAGUGUUGCUGGAGAGGAUACAAGAGCCUGGCUUUCAGUUGGAGGGCAGUGGCACGGGAGCCACUGAAGGGUUUUCACAGAGCCAAGACAUGUUCCUUGUUUUCCUAGAGAUCACUCUAGCCGCCAUACGUGCAGUGGCUUGGAGGGGCCAGCAUCCUUUUGAGAGAUGAUGAGGCCUAAACAAGGGGAGAUGCAAGGUCAGUGGUAGGUGGGGACAGAUUCAUGGCUGUUAAGGAAGCAGGUAUGGCAGGAUGGUGACCUAUGGGUUGGAUGUGGCUGGAGAGGACGGAGUUAAGGAGGGACAUGGGCACUCAGGUCGUUG
ensembl:lncRNA